rnacentral:lncRNA from 1 species
UUGAGGAGAAUGAGAUGCUCUUCUUUUUCUUUCCUCUCAGGAGGGUAUCUUGUACCCCUAAUUCUACUAUCGGACACUUGUCCAUUGUUACCUCUCGUCUCACUUUUUUUCUUUUCUUUCGAGGUUCCGGGCACUUGCCCCUUUUUAUUUCCUCGUCUUUUUUUUAGAGCACGCAUCUCAUGAAAUAAUAUAGCAAGUGGUAGUAACCAAGAUAAGUUGAGCAUUUAUUUCAUAGGGGAAAACAGAAAUAUUUUUGGCUAUUCUCUCCCGGAUUAGGAGUAGAAUAUUUUUGAGUGGUUCUGGAGAUGGAAAUGAGUGGAUAUAUGUGGAUGGUACUUCCAGAGUAGAAGCAGCAUGUGUGAGUGAACGUGCAAGUGAAUCUUGAUUUAACCACAUGACAAGCUCCUAAGGGUCUACACAGCUUGACCACACUCAAUGUUCAUAAGUAGUAAAAAGUAAAUG